rnacentral:ncRNA from 1 species
CCACGGCAAAUCAAUCGAAAGGUUGAGACGCAAAGCCUCCGGUCUAAAGGCGCAUGCCUACGAUAGCGGGGUUGCCA